AUGACCAAGCAGCAGGUGUCCCCAAAGUAGAAGUCUUUCCCUAUUCCCACCCAAAACUGGGGAGCAGAACUCAGUACCACCUCAGAACUUGCAGGGAGCUGCAACAGCUUAUUAAGGGCUGUUUCUGAUUUCCUGGACAACCUCUAUGUCAUAUCUGUCCUAUUGUCCAACCCAGGGGGCUGAGUUUUGGUUUGAGUAUUAUGGAUGCCAGGGAAAUACAGGAUCCAAGUCCUGGUGUUGCCCUGGAGAGGGGAGACAUGUGUCCUGGCUGGAAGCUGCAGUUUGAAAAUUUGAAGACCGUGGCCAUCUUGUGGGAUCUGCUAUAAUCAGCAUAUUUGAGCUGCUGGGUCUACAUCACCGUGGGCUUCAGCCAUUCAAGUCUUCACUCUAGGUUUUCCAGUCCAAAAGGCCAAGGCCUCCAGCCCUGAGCUCAGAGGACAGUACCGAGAAUGGACCUUUGGGACUUCUCAGGAACAUUGACAAUUUGUACACUACAAGUUGACUUUAUUUAUUUAUUUUGUGAAAAAGAAGAGACAGAAAUACCUUAUUAUUUGCAGGGACUCAAAGCUGUACCCAAAUCAAGAAAAACGAAACAGCAAUAAUAGAGACCAUUCACUCAUUCCAUACACACAAGGACACUCGAAGACGAUUCAGAAUACAAGAGGACAGGACCAAGGUGCAGGAGUCGCGAUGGCCCAGGCUGUUGUUUAAGGAGAUUCCUUGGUUUCCUCCUUUUGAGUUGAAGAUGCACCAAGAAGUCCCUUUCUGCUGUAUUACCUUUGCCCAGGGGUCUGAAACAGGACACAACUCAAGCAAGUGUCUCCUUGGGGCUCAGCAAUGCCCUGAGAACCCUCGGGGUUUGGGGAAGGACGGGGCAGCGGGGCGGGGUGACUACCGACUUCUCGCUCCGCGGGACCUAGUUGGAGACAUGCAUGUGGGGUUUUCAGCAUGGAGCUGGGCCUAGGAAGGUGGUCCAGCUGGGGACUAGUGCCUCCGUUUCCAGCGAGGCCAGCCCUGUUUCUCUGCUCUUGCUGGCUCCACCAGGAGCCGUCCCCUGCACAGCAC
rnacentral:lncRNA from 1 species